GGUUAAGCGACUAAGCGUACACGGUGGAUGCCCUGGCAGUCAGAGGCGAUGAAGGACGUGCUAAUCUGCGAUAAGCGUCGGUAAGGUGAUAUGAACCGUUAUAACCGGCGAUUUCCGAAUGGGGAAACCCAGUGUGUUUCGACACACUAUCAUUAACUGAAUCCAUAGGUUAAUGAGGCGAACCGGGGGAACUGAAACAUCUAAGUACCCCGAGGAAAAGAAAUCAACCGAGAUUCCCCCAGUAGCGGCGAGCGAACGGGGAGGAGCCCAGAGCCUGAAUCAGUGUGUGUGUUAGUGGAAGCGUCUGGAAAGGCGCGCGAUACAGGGUGACAGCCCCGUACACAAAAAUGCACAUACUGUGAGCUCGAUGAGUAGGGCGGGACACGUGGUAUCCUGUCUGAAUAUGGGGGGACCAUCCUCCAAGGCUAAAUACUCCUGACUGACCGAUAGUGAACCAGUACCGUGAGGGAAAGGCGAAAAGAACCCCGGCGAGGGGAGUGAAAAAGAACCUGAAACCGUGUACGU
rnacentral:rRNA from 1 species